AUUGAACGCUGGCGGUAUGCCUAACACAUGCAAGUCGAACGAGGUAGCAAUACCUAGUGGCGGACGGGUGAGGAAUACGUAGGGAUCUGCCCUUAAGUGGGGGAUAACCCGGGGAAACCCGGAUUAAUACCGCAUGAUCUCGCAAGAGCAAAGAGGGGGACCGCAAGGCCUCUCGCUUUUGGAGGAACCUACGUCGGAUUAGCUAGUUGGUGAGGUAAUGGCUCACCAAGGCGACGAUCCGUAACUGGUCUGAGAGGAUGAUCAGUCACACCGGAACUGAGACACGGU
rnacentral:rRNA from 1 species